AGCAGCCGCGGUAAUUCCAGCUCCAAUAGCGUAUAUUAAAGUUGUUGCAGUUAAAAAGCUCGUAGUUGAAUUUCGGGAUCGACGGGUCGGUCGCGCCUCUGGUGUGUACUGGCCCUGUCGGUUUCUCCCUUCUGACGAACCACGAUGUCAUUAAUUUGGUGUCGUGGGAAAUCAGGACUGUUACUUUGAAAAAAUUAGAGUGUUUAAAGCAAGCAUUCGCUUGAAUACAUUAGCAUGGAAUAAUGAAAUAGGACGUUUGAUCUUAUUUUGUUGGUUUCUAAGAUCGACGUAAUGAUUAAUAGGGAUAGUUGGGGGCAUUAGUAUUCAAUUGUCAGAGGUGAAAUUCUUGGAUUUAUUGAAGACUAACUACUGCGAAAGCAUUUGCCAAGGAUGUUUUCAUUAAUCAAGAACGAAAGUUAGGGGAUCGAAGACGAUCAGAUACCGUCGUAGUCUUAACCAUAAACUAUGCCGACUAGGGAUCGGAUGAUGUUAAUUUUUUAAUGACUCAUUCGGCGCCUUACG
rnacentral:rRNA from 1 species